AGCUCCAAUAGCGUAUAUUAAAGUUGUUGCAGUUAAAAAGCUCGUAGUUGGAUUUCUGGGAGGGUGCCGCCGUCCGGCGUGUCCGUGUGCAGUGGCGCCCUUCCAUCCUUCUGUUAGCGUCUCUUGGCAUUCAUUUGCUGGUGGCGGGCUCAGAUAUUUUACCUUGAGAAAAUUAGAGUGUUUCAGGCAGGCUAGGCCGGAAUACAUUAGCAUGGAAUAAUGGAAUAGGACUACGGUCUCUUUGUUGGUUUGAGGGACUGCAGUAAUGAUUAAUAGGGAUAGUUGGGGGCAUUAGUAUUUAAUUGUCAGAGGUGGAAUUCUCAG
rnacentral:rRNA from 1 species